rnacentral:tRNA from 1 species
GAUCCCUUAGUUAAGUUGGAUAUAACGAGAACCUCCUAAGUUCUUGUCGCCGGUUCGAGUCCGGCAGGGUCA